UAUCAUUCAUGAGUCGUGAUAACAGACUACUCCAAAUACAUAUGAACUUAAGUCCCUUUCAACCUCCAUCCACAAGCUAGACUACUCCCAUUCCUUUUCCCCACUAAUCCGUCCAACGACUAGGAUAAUUGACAAAAGACAAUUUCUUACAAUGUUGGCAACUUGUAUUGCACAUGAUUUACAUCCUUGAUCUAUAUGGCAUAUGCGUACAUACGUACUUAGAAGUAUAUUUUUUGCUACAACAUAACCUUUUUUAUACAGUCAAGUCACAACAAAACUAAGAGAAUCAUUCGAUCUAUGAUAUUCACCUAAUUGCUCUAGCAUUCCACAUUUGUUGAGCUAUUUCAUCUCUCAGAUUGCACAUAUAUUGUUUAUCAGCAUCUGUCGGUCCUCGUCCAAUGUCUUCUUCAUCAGAAUCAGAAUCAGAGUCAAUAUCAUUCAAACCGUGAGAAUCUUCUAUUUCCUUUUCCAUGUGUUCUUCAAAAUAUGAAUCCUACCAAUUCCACUUACGAAUGAAAUUAUGAAGUAUGCAACAUGAGAGUACAAUCCAACCUUGUUUUUUUAUGGAAUACGGAGGAGGAGUCGUUAAUAUAGGAAAUCUUUUUUUCAAAACAGCAAAUGUCCUCUCUACGACAUUUCGAAGUUUGAAUGUCUCAAGUUAUAGAGCUCACGAGCAUUUUGUGGUGCUUGUGUUUGGCUCCAUUCUCUCAAAUGAUAUCGUGCACCACGAUAAGGUGCUAGAAAGCCCUUUGUAUUUGCAUAGC
rnacentral:lncRNA from 1 species